CUCUGCCUACGGGGGGCAGCAGUGAGGAAUAUUGGUCAAUGGGCUUACGCCUGAACCAGCCAAGUCGCGUGAGGGAGUACUGCCCUAUGGGUUGUAAACCUCUUUUGUCGGGGAGCAAAAGCCGGACGUGUCCGGCUGUGAGAGUACCCGAAGAAAAAGCAUCGGCUAACUCCGUGCCAGCAGCCGCGGUAAUACGGAGGAUGCGAGCGUUAUCCGGAUUUAUUGGGUUUAAAGGGUGCGCAGGCGGAUUUUUAAGUCAGUUGUUAAAGUUUGCGGCUCAACCGUAAAAUUGCAGUUGAAACUGG
rnacentral:rRNA from 1 species